GUCAAUUACCCACGACUGAAGUCGCGGGCUUGUAUGAAGAAUAAUGCUGCGCAUUAAACUCUAUCAGCCCUAGUUGACUAGCCUAAGUGCCAAGAGCACUACGUUAUGCAGGAAAUAGGUACCACGGGAUGUUAUAGCCUAGUCCCGUGCUCUA
rnacentral:sRNA from 1 species